ACCUGGCUGUCUCAGAUGGUAGAGCAUGUGACUCUUGAUCUCAGGGUCAUGAGUUCAAGUCCCAUGUUGGGCA
rnacentral:tRNA from 1 species